CACAAAGAGCUCACGAUGGAGUUUGUGCUUGCCUGGGUAUUCCUUGUUGUUCUCUUAAAAGGUGUCCAGUGUGAGGUGCAGUUGGUGGAGUGUGGGGGAGACCUGGUGAAGCCUGGGGGGUCCCUGAGACUCUCCUGUGCAGCCUCUGGAUUCACCUUCAGUAGCUAUGGAAUGAGCUGGGUCCGCCAGGCUCCAGGGAAGGGGCUGCAGUGGGUCACAUUGAUUAAUACUGGUGGAAGUAGCACAUACUAUGCAGACUCUGCGAAGGGCCGAUUCACCAUCUCCAGGGACAACGGCAAGAACACGCUGUAUCUGCAGAUGAACAGCCUGAGAGCUAAGGACACAACUGUGUGUUACUGUGCAACGGACACAGUGAGGGGAUAUCAGUGUGCUGGAGCUCUCGAGACAGCCAUUGCACUUUGGAACUGCCAUGCGCUCUGCACUGAACUGAACAGUAGCUUGUGUUUUCUGACUUCCGUCCUCACAUUCCUCGCCUGCAAGCCCCCCAUAUUGGGAAUUCUGGAGUCAAAACGCAGCCUUCUGCCUAUCCACCAGAAAGAAGAAUUGCGCUAUGGGACUGCCCAGGAACCCCACAUGAGUAUCCACCUGACGGCCCUCAAUGGCACCCCAAUAGCAUAG